rnacentral:tRNA from 1 species
UACAUUCUAGUUUAUGAUGAACAUUAACCUUUGAAGUUAAAGGACAGUUUAAUUCUGUUAAUGUAA